CAAGAAAGAAUUCAGAGAUGAGUCAGAGUAAAGGGAAGGGCAAGAAGCUUUUAUUCCAAAGUACUCGAGUAGGAGUGUGAGUGAACUUGGGAGAGUGAGUUGCACACAGUGGAGUAUGGGUUUCUAAUUUAAUGAGCUCUUCUAAUUAAAAGAUGGAAUGAUGAGGGCUUCUAGGAAAAAGGUGGAGAUCUCUUAGAAUUGGAGUGCCACCCAUUUUUCUACUAAAUAUGGGCAUGAUCGGAUCUGUCAUGGCACUAGUGGGUGAGUGACUUAGGAGAGUAAUGAGUGUAUAAUUAUGUCUGGGGUAGGACGUGGGUCAAAUCCAAUGUCACGUCGGACUUAGCUGGUUUUAGUCAGCUUAGCCCCCAUCCUGUUAGCAAGGGUCUUAUCAGCCCAGGCUUAUCUUUGUCCUUGUAGCUAAUUUUAACACCUCCUUUCUUGCUGCUGGUGAUAUUGUUGCUUGAUAUUUUCCUGCUUCUCCUGUAAGCAUCCAGCAUUCCUAUUUUAUGGGCGUUUUCUUAAAUUAGGGGGUGAAAUAAUCAUUAGAUAUUCUGGAAAAGGAGGGCAUUUCAGGGACCCGUGGUUACUAACCCAAACGUUCUCUCUUAUUUAUUUCUCUCUUAUCUCUCUUAUUAUUUCGGUUUGCCUAGAAGAGUCAUGAACAUGUCACUCUGACCAGUAUUUUGGCUGUUUUUCUCUCUUAUUUUGAGUUUUCUGUUAUCCUGUAGUUUAUUUGCCUAGUUCUUAUUUUAGCUGUUGUUUGGAUUUUUCCGUCCUUCUGUCACCACCCAGGGCUAUGCUCCUAUCAGCAGAACACAGCCAACAAAUCAUUAGUUUGCUAAUGACACAAGUGAUAGCAAUGCAGUCCAUGGAUUGACUACUUCUUAGUCACGUGUCCACCCUUCAUCCAAUCAGCUGUGGCCUUAGUCGGGUGUCUACCCCUCAUCCAAUCAGCUGUGGCCUUGCUGAAGGUGGCAUUCUGAAGUCAGCUACCUGCUUAGCAAGAUGUGUGGGCAGAAAUUCAUCCCGAAAGUGACGUGGACAGACAGUCCUCCGAUCUAUGCUGGAAAUGUCAAGGGCUCUGGAGCUUGACCACCUGGGUUCAAAUGCCACCUUCACUCAUGUUAACAGUGUGGCUUGGGCAACCGACUUUACCUCUCUGCACCUGUUUCUUCAAUGUGCAAAUGGAAAGAACAUCACCUGCCUCUUAGGUUGUUCUAAGGAUAAAUUAUAUGCAAUGCACUUAGAAUACGGCCAGACUAAAAGGUAAAUGUGCAACAAAUAUUUAUGAAGGUUGUCAUUAUCGUUAUUAUUACCACGUGCCAGGCACUGGGGAUGCAGAGGUAAAUCAGAAGCUUCAAGCGUAGCCCUUGUUGGAACUGAAAAGAAAUUGCAGAUGUAAAACCUUUGAUUUAAUGAGGUUUUACAGUGUCCAGUCAUCCUUGAAGAGCAAGCAGAAAAAAGGAGAUUCUGUCAGUUAAUAUCUCCUGUAUCUAGAGUCAUUCUCUUGGUUAUUUUUACUCUUUGCUUUAGGCCUCUGAUUUGCUUAAAACUGAUGGCUUGAAAAGGGAAAUUCAUCUGGAUUCCCUCACCAAGCUGACAGUCCACUGCCACUGUUAUUACAAUGAUUUAUCACUACUCUUUCCAUGCGGAUGGUGACAGGCAAAGGAAGGGGUUUGCCAUCUUACACCCUGACUUCGAUACCCAUUCCCCAGAAAAAGCAGCUUGUAUCUUCCAAUCUCACAUCGUAAGAGCUAUAAUCCCUGGUCCAGCUAAACCAAAAUCUCCCCAAGAUGCAUCAGAUUGUAAUGCCCAACCUUGUUUUUACUAACCCUGUUUUUAACUCUCCCUUUUCCUUUAAUCACGUAGACUUGUUGCCACCUGAAUUGACUCUCCCUUAGCUAAGAGAGCUAGACAGAAUCCAUCUUGGCUCUUUCACUGGCAGCCCCUUCCUCAAGGACUUAACUUGUGCAAGCUGACUCCCAGCACAUCCAAGAAUGCAAUUAACUGAUAAGAUACUGUGGCAAGCUAUAUCCGCAAUUCCCAGGAAUUCGUCUGAUUGAUAACACCCAAAGCCUCCAGUCUAUGACCUUGUAAUAGUCUUAAAGCCCCUGCACCUGGAACUGUUUACCUUCCUGUAACCAUUUAUCCUUUUAACUUUUUGCCUACUUUAUAUCUGUAAAAUUGUUUUAACUAGAGCCCCCUCCCCUUUCUAAACCAAAUUAUAAAAGAAAAUCUAGCCCCUUCUUCCGGGCCGAGAGAAUUUUGAGCGUUAGCCGUCUCUGGGCCGCCGGCUAAAUAAACGGA
rnacentral:lncRNA from 10 species